rnacentral:lncRNA from 1 species
GGGGAUGCAAGUAAGAUUGAGGGGUGGGGACAAGGGCCAGAUAAAAAUCCUGAGGGUAACUGGCCCUCAUUAGGACUCUGGAGAAGUGAGAUGCAAUCCCUGAGUCUCAUUUGCUUUCUUAAUCGCUUUGACCCCUUCCCCCACCCCACCUCUUCUUUCCAGUCCCCCUCCCUGCCUCUGCUGUCCAUCACUUAUAUCUUUCCCCCCAUAUGGUGUCCGUUUCUUAUAUGAGUCCCCCUUCUGUUCUUCCCCUGUAUUGGUCCCUAUCUCAUAUCUCUUCUCUUUCCCUCCCUCUCUUCUAAUAACUACCUUAAUACACCACUGCUGCUCCUGGGCCCCGUGUCUCAGAUCCCCUGACAGGUCUCUCUCACUCCCUCUGCCCCAUGUUGGCUGAAACCUUCUGGUCCAUUCCCUUGCCCUAGGCAAGCAACCACCAUCUUUACCAUCUUCCUUUUCUCUUAGGUUCACGCUGUUACUUGUCCCUCAGCUCACCCUCUGUUUCCUAUCCCACUUCCCAUCUUGUCACAUGGUCUGUGCUUAUUUCCUCUUAUUCCCCAACCUGGUGAUUCCUCUCUUCUUGUCCCCUCUGCUUCCUGGGGUGAUAGAGAUUGGGGGGGGGGGUUACCAAAACACAGGUUUUGAUCGUUGGAACAGGGCUCUAAGGAAUUCCCCCAUCUUGGACCCUUGUGGAACUUCUCAUUCCAGUAAAAAUUUCCCAUUUCCCUGUCCUCUGCCAUGUUCCAUUGCUUCCUAGGGUCAUUAGUAUUCUUAACUAUAGAAUCUCUCUGUGUGUGUGUGUGUGUGUGUGUGUGUGUGUGUGUGUGUGUUGUACCUAAGCUAAGAUUCCCUGUGUCCCUUUCCUGUUCCCAGUAGAACAGUGUCCCUUGAGGUCUAUCCUGCUUGCCCAGCUGCAGCCUAGAGCAGCUCCUCUGUUGUGUUUUGGUUAUAUGUAUUAACAGAUUUUUCCCCUGGAUACACCAUGCGUUGAGAUGUACUAGGCCUCAAGUGUUUGUGAUCUAAGUUAUGGAAGGUUGUUGUUGCUAUUGUUGUGCUGGGGCUUUGAAUCCUAGUGGGGUUUUUUUUGUUGUUGUUGGUUUUUGAGUUUUUUGUUGUCAUUAUUGUUUUGGUUUUUUUCCCCGACCACUGAGCUAUAAUGACCAACCCUGUCAGUGACCUUUGAUAUUUAGAAAAUAUGAGUAGAGUUUCCAAGAAAGCAUCGAGACAGUGAAAUUUUGAAAGCAUUGUGAGGUCUAGGCACAAUUCCCAGGUGUUUAUCUUUCUGUCUGACCUGCAAUUUGGGUAAAUUUGAGAAUGGUGGCCAUCAUCAGUAAGGGGAUGGAGUUUCCUAAAGUUACUCUAGGGCCUGGAAUGAAGCUCAAAGGCCAGUUCUCCUGAAACAUGCCCAAGUUAAUUACCCUGCACAGGUGAUAGCCCUGGACUUUUCUUCCUGUGAACAUCCUCCAGUUGAUCCCUUAAGCCUAGUUUUAUCACUCCAAUAUCACCAAUCUAACUCUUCUGACUCCCUGAAGGCCUUUCCUUCACUGUGUCCCCAUAAAUGGUAUGUGGCAACGAUGCUAUCGAGACAGCAAAGAUGGAGCACCUGAGUGUGCAUAACUGUUGAUCCCAUUUUUUUUUUUCUGGAAAUUUGUUUAUUGUCAGAUUUCAUCUUGGGAAGUUCCUCUGACAUGAGGUGUGGCUGUUCCACUCUUUCCUCCACUCUUUCUAAGUUCCUCAAUGUGCCCAGUGACAGCCAGGUGCGGCUGUCAGCUUGUAGAGUUGGCUCCUCCCUAUCUAUGAAGAUUGGGUGGGAAGAGGAGGGCUGACUCCGGAGCCUGCUGUGGACAGAGAGGCCAGACCAGUCUUUGGUCAUCGGAGCAGAUCCCUGAUCCCUGCACAGCCAGAUGCAAAGACGAGCUACCUUCCCCUUGGUAACGUCUCCAAAAGGGUGGCCAGGGUAGGAGUAGGGAAUUAAGGGAAGAAGAGAGGGGAGGCCUCACGCCUCUCUGAACAUAUAAGACCCCCCCCCAUUCCUUUCUUUCUUCUUAAUUGUUUAGUUCUCAGAAUCUCAUGACUCAAAUAUGCUUCAGUGCACCAUCUUCUUUUCCACAGCUGGGUACCUCAUAUUCUCCUAAAUAUGUGAGGCCGCAUCCAUUAUGUACGGGGACCCCCUAUGCACCGAACCCAAUACGUUCAUUCCCCGUACGAUCGUCCUGGCUGGAACCCUCGGUUCUGCAUCAUCUCGGGGAACCAGCUGCUCAUGCUGGAUGAGGAUGAGAUACACCCCCUUCUGAUCCGCGACCGGAGGAGCGAGUCCAGCCGAAACAAACUGCUGAGACGCACCGUCUCUGUGCCAGUGGAGGGGCGGCCCCACGGCGAGCA